rnacentral:lncRNA from 1 species
AGUUUUUCAGCGUUGCUCAGUUUCGUAUUAAUAUGUGCGGAGAUCUCACCAGCGGCAUGCUGUCAUCGGCCACACAUCGUCUUCAUCCUGGCGGACGACAUGGGUUGGAACGACGUCAGCUUUCACGGCUCGAACCAGAUUCCGAC